rnacentral:rRNA from 1 species
AGCGAACGCUGGCGGCAGGCUUAACACAUGCAAGUCGAGCGGGCAUCCUUGUUGUGUCCGCGGCAGACGGGUGAGUAACGCGUGGGAACGUGCCCUUCGGUUCGGAAUAACUCAGGGAAACUUGAGCUAAUACCGGAUACGCCCUUUUGGGGAAAGGUUUACUGCCGAAGGAUCGGCCCGCGUCUGAUUAGCUAGUUGGUGAGGUUAUGGCUCACCAAGGCGACGAUCAGUAGCUGGUCUGAGAGGAUGAUCAGCCACACUGGGACUGAGACACGGCCCAGACUCCUACGGGAGGCAGCAGUGGGGAAUAUUGGACAAUGGGGGCAAGCCUGAUCCAGCCAUGCCGCGUGAGUGAUGACGGCCUUAGGGUUGUAAAGCUCUUUUCUCCGGGACGAUAAUGACGGUACCGGAGGAAUAAGCCCCGGCUAACUUCGUG